rnacentral:pre_miRNA from 9 species
UAUGCUUAGUUUUGAGUUGUUUCAAAUUUGUAUGGAUUUGGAACGUUUGCCUACGUUUUCCGCUAGAGGCGCUGUUCCAACUCCAUACAAAUUUGAGUUAACUUUUACGCUAUCGA